rnacentral:lncRNA from 1 species
AAAGAACAGUUGAGUUCCAAAAAUAAAUAGGUCGCAAACAAACCAAAGACAGUUCUAAAUGCCAGCUGCUUUCACUUAUCAACUUUAGAGCCAUCACCAUCUGUUUGGAGGUCCAAUCAAAAGGUUCUACUGGAUCUGCCACAACGGUAGAAAGCAUCUUGGGUAGUAAUAGCUUCCAGAUUUCUUCUUCCUAAAGGCACCACAGUUUUGGACAGGAGAUGCCGCAUAAACGACAGUACUAUGAUAUGCUGGAUUUCUUUUUAUUCUUGGGUCACAUUGCAGUGAGUAAGUGAACACCGUCCAGAAAUUCACUCUUCUACAACAUUCACAAGCUCAUAUUCAAUCAGAGAGAGGUUGUUAUCUUCCUUCACGGUGAAAUUGGCAGGCUCUGCAACUUCAACACGGCCCCACUUGUCCACAGCAAGUCUCAUUGAUCCUUUAAACAUGUCAAUUUUUGCAUUGCGCAGAAUCACAGUAGUACCCU